UCCAGAUCCCUCACCCACCCCCCCUGUCCACUCCCGCAGCUGACGCCCCUCCCUCACCGUCGAGGACCCACGCCACCGCCGCACACUACAGCGCCCUCCCCUCACCCUGGCCCCAGGUCAGGCAGUGCGAGGCGACGCUUCCAGACCACGAUGGCCACAGCCUUUCCCACUCCGAUCUGGAUCCAUGGUGCACUCCUUCUUAUGUCUGCUCAUCAGACCUGACCUCCGACCUUCGCCCGCCCUCUCCACCCCUUCUCUCCCUACGCGUCGGCCUGAUCCAGUCCAACACGUCCCAUGGCGCCGUAACCGAACCACACGGCCGCAGUCAUGGCAGGAGCACCGGCCAUGGCGGCCCCUCUCUGGUUCAUCCGCUUGUUCGCUUGGAUCCGCAUGACCCACCCUCACCGCACCUCAUCUCCUCUCACUCUUCCUCUCAGACCCACCACGCCAAGGUCGCCAUGGGCCUCGACCUCCACGGACAUGUGCUCACCAGCGCCAUCUUUCUCAUGUACUGGUCGCCGGCAUCUUGUUCUCCAGCACCAACUUGGUUCUCCACCAGACACCACAGGUCCAUGGAGCUCCAGCGUCAAGGGCACAAAGUUCAGCUACCUGCUGCUCCUUUGUUGUUUCUGGAUCCAUUCCUUCCUUCCUUCCUAGCACAUGUCUCAUCUUCUUCUUGUUGUGCAGCAGCAGCAAAGAUAGAGGCCAAGGCAUUCAUCUAGGAGGUGCGCAGCCCGCUCGGCAUGGGCUACAUAACAUCAUCCAUGUGUCACCUCACUGGACAUAAGAGGCAGCAGUGUAUAAACAAUACCUUGCAAACCAGACCCUGAAUGAUGAUCUAAUGUCGUCGAGGCUGCUGCUGCUGUGACAGAAGAUCAGAAGAAGCUUGGAGAUGCGUGCCACAGUUUUAGUUGAUGUUGCCACCAAGUUUUGGUGCUUGUGUAUCUGUUUUUGAUUGUAUGUGCACUUGUUGGACGUGCAAACGUGUAUGUGCUCUUGUGAGUAUUUAACUUGAUGA